rnacentral:rRNA from 1 species
ACCGGCGCACGGGUGCGUAACGCGUAUGCAACCUACCUUUAACUGGAGGAUAGCCCCGAGAAAUCGGGAUUAAUACUCCAUAAUAUUUUUUAGUGGCAUCACAUAAAAAUUAAAGCUUUGGCGGUUAAAGAUGGGCAUGCGUGACAUUAGUUAGUUGGUGAGGUAACGGCUCACCAAGACUACGAUGUCUAGGGGUUCUGAGAGGAUUAACCCCCACACUGGUACUGAGACACGGACCANACUCCUACGGGAGGCAGCAGUGAGGAAUAUUGGUCAAUGGACGCAAGUCUGAACCANCCAUGCCGCGUGAAGGAUGAAGGCCUUAUGGGUUGUAAACUUCUUUUAUACGGGAAUAAACUUANUUAUGUAUAACUAACUGCANGUCCGUAUNAAUAANCACCGCUACUCCGUGCCANCACCCCGGUAUACNGANGGUCCANCUUAUCCGAUUAUUUGGUUUAAGGGUCCCANNCNACUAUAA